rnacentral:rRNA from 1 species
AGUGAACGCUGGCGGCAGGCCUAACACAUGCAAGUCGAACGGCAGCACAGUGAUUGCUUGCGGUUCCGGGGGGGGAAUGGCGUGCGUAUCAGGUGAAUAUCCUUCUCUACUUUUUCGGAUGACUUAACGUAGGGGGACCUACUCCAAUACCGCAGACGACGUACGAUGGAGAGCAUUGGAUCUUCUGACCUGUCGCGAUUGAAUGAGCGGCUGUCGGGUUAGCUAGUUGGCGGGGUAAUGGCCCACCAAUGCGACGAUCGGUAGCUGGUCUGAGAGGAUGAUCAGCCACACUGGAACUGAGACACGGUCCAGACUCCUACGGGAGGCAGCAGUGGGGAAUAUUGGACAAUGGGCGAAAGCCUGAUCCAGCCAUACCGCGUGUGUGAAGAAGGCCUUCGGAUUGUAAAGCCCGUUUGUUGGGAAAGAAAAGCAGUAGGUUAAUACCCCGCUGUUGUGACGGUACCAAAAGAAUAAGCACCGGCUAACUUCGUG